rnacentral:rRNA from 1 species
ACACGUACGAAAGUCAAGCUAAAAGACUUUACUCAAUGAUGUAAGUGGUGGUGCAUGGCCGUUCGUAGUUCGUGGAUUGAUUUGUCUGGUCUAUUCCGAUAACGAGCGAGACCCCAGCGUUCCUAAUAGGGGCGGUAGCCCAGCUGGCCGCAAGGCCAGCUAGCUGCCUCCUCUUGUUAGCUUCUUGGACGGAUCAGAGCCGAUAAGGUUCUUGAAAUGGGUUAAUAACAGGUCAGUCAUGCCCUUAGAUGUUCUGGGCCGCACGCGCGUUACAAUGACACGUAAAGCAAGUGCUGGUGCAGUAUUCCCGUGGUUGAGAGGUUGUGGUAACCCCUACGCCAUGUCAAAACAGGGAUAGACCCCUGCAAUUAUUGGUCUUUAACGAGGAAUUUUUAGUAAUCACCGGUCAUUAACCGGUGAUGA